UUUGGAUCAGCAACUCUCAGGCCACAGCCACUGGGUUAAUGACGACUGUAUACCUGCCACCUGAAGGAGUCUAAGAGAAGAUCAGCACUGGGACAGAAGCCGAAAUGAAAAAAGAAGGUACCAGUGCUUUCAAAUCCCUGGAUUGCUUCCUGCUUUACAUUCAGUACCUAGCUCAUAAGGUCUUUAUAAGGAUUAGGAGGGAGCCAAGCUCAAAGAGGUGCAGUUGGUACCCCAAGGUCCCACAGUUAGAGAGUGAUGGAGCUGGAUUUGAACAAAGGCAGUCUGAUUCCGGGGCCCAUCUUCUGGAGCACCACACCUGAGGUGCAUGUUCCUACACAGGUGCUUUGUGAGUAUCUGUGGUGUCCAAUGAGUGAGUCAUUUUCAACUUUGCUGAGAGAUCCAGGGAAGGUGGUUUGUUGCCUUUCUCUUUCUUUCUCUCUCCUCCCCCACAUGCAUUUUAGUUAUUUUAAAACAAACAAAAUAGGCCAGGCACGGUGGCUCAUGCCUGUAAUCAUAGCACUUUGGGAGGCCAAGGCGGGAGGAUUGCUUGAAUCCAGCAGUUAAAGAUCAGCCUGGGCAACAUGGUGAAAUCUCGUCUCUACAAAAAAUAGAAAAUUUAGCCGGGCAUGGUGGUGUGCGUGUGGUUUCG
rnacentral:lncRNA from 10 species